CUUGGUUUUGAAGCUUGAGCUGGAAAAUUUGCAAGCACUCAUAAGGUUUCUUGUUUCUGGUUGUGCUGGAAAAAUAUCACCAGGCUAGACUUUAUUGUGGUAUUUUGGCAUUUUAUUUUCAGUCAUAGGCAGAACCAGGAUGACCAGAUGUUUGCAAAAAAUGAGAAAAGAAGAAGAAAGAAUGUAAGCAUAACACUUUCAAACUUCAGAAGAGGUUUGGUUUGGUUCGGUUCGGUUCAAGCUGGGAGAAAGGAGCUAGUUUGCAUUUGUAUUAUCCAAAGUGGUUUGCCCUAUCGUAGCUCUGAACCAAAAGCCACCCCAAGAUUGCCAGCAUACUACUUAGAUGCAUGAUGAUGAGCAGAAAGCUGUGUGUAAUGUAUGUGUUAUGUACCUUCAGUACUAGCUUCCAUUUGGCAAGUGCAUUUACGAUAAUCUCUCUCUAGUCAUAGGUCACCUACCUUGUAAUAUGUUACCAGCGAAUGCCCAUCAGUAUCAGCAGCUGCAAUCCUUUGUAAUAAAUAAUAAUUUUCUACAACACUGCUUGCCAAGAGGAGGAGUACCUUGCAGGAGAUUUGUAAUUUAAAGAUUCUCAUUUUAAAAUCCAUUUUUGAUUGACACCUGACCCCUGGUAAAAGUAACCUCUCUUAUUCUGGAUAAUAGAUGGAUAUGAGUGUAGGCACAAACAAGCCAAAGAACCAGUAUACAUAACAAAUUGGAGUAGAAGGAGAUGCGUAUGCUUUCAAUAGAAAUCCAUGUUGACUUUACAGUGUCUGUCGUUUAUAGCAUGUGCCAUAAUUACUCCAUCUUAGAGCUGAAUUGAUGGUGAAAAUCCAGAAACAGUUUCUGUGGCCAUAUAAGGACAGUUCUGAAUUUUGGAAGUUCUAUGCUGCAAUGUAACCAGAAAAGAAAUGCAGUUUCCCCUGAAAACACAAGACAUGAGUAAUCUGAUCAGAGCAUUAGAGAUAACAUGAUACCAUUUUAAAACAAAACAAAAAUUGCUGUAAAAAUGAAUAUUUUACAAGCUUUUAAUAAAGUGUAGAACUACGUAAUCUAUUCAUUUGUAUAUAUUCUAAUACAAAAGGCUUUCUCAGCACAAUGCAUGUAAAUUUGAGGAAAUGUAGAUUUAAAUAAAAUUAGAAAUACAUUAUUCUUACUAACUUAA